rnacentral:tRNA from 1 species
AUGGGGCUGGCUUAGUGGUAGAGUGCUUGCCUCACAUGCAUGAGGCCCUGGUUCCAUUCCUCAGCACCACA